rnacentral:rRNA from 1 species
GACGAACGCUGGCGGCGUGCUUAACACAUGCAAGUCGAACGGAAAGGCCCUGCUCUUGUGGGGUGCUCGAGUGGCGAACGGGUGAGUAACACGUGAGUAAACUGCCCUUGAAUUUGGGAUAACUUCAGGAAACUGGGGCUAAUAUAGGAUAGGAGCUCCUGAUGCAUGGUGGGGGUUGGAAAGUUUCGGCGGUUGGGGAUGGACUCGAGGCUUAUCAGCUUGUUGGUGGGGUAGUGGCGUACAAAGGCUUCGACGGGUAGCCGGCCUGAGAGGGUGACCGGCGACAUUGGGACUGAGAUACGGCCCAGACUCCUACGGGAGGCAGCAGUGGGGAAUAUUGCACAAUGGGCGGAAGCCUGAUGCAGCAACGCCGCGUGCGGGAUGACGGCCUACGGGUUGUAAACCGCUUUCGCCUGUGACGAAGCGUGAGUGACGGUAAUGGGUAAGGAAGCACCGGCUAACUACGUG